rnacentral:rRNA from 1 species
CAAUAAGCGGAGGAAAAGAAACUAACAAGGAUUCCCCUAGUAACUGCGAGUGAAGCGGGAAAAGCUCAAAUUUAAAAUCUGGCGGUCUAUGGCUGUCCGAGUUGUAAUCUAGAGAAGUAAUGCCCGCGCUGGACCGUGUACAAGUCUCCUGGAAUGGAGCGUCAUAGAGGGUGAGAAUCCCGUCUUUGACACGGACUACCAGGGCUUUGUGGUAUGCUCUCAAAGAGUCGAGUUGUUUGGGAAUGCAGCUCUAAAUGGGUGGUAAAUUCCAUCUAAAGCUAAAUAUUGGCGAGAGACCGAUAGCGAACAAGUACCGUGAGGGAAAGAUGAAAAGAACUUUGGAAAGAGAGUUAAACAGUACGUGAAAUUGCUGAAAGGGAAACGCUUGAAGUCAGUCGCGUUGACUAGAACUCAGCUUCACUUUUGUGGGGUGUACUUUUUAGUUGACGGGUCAGCAUCAAUUCUGACUGCUGGAAAAAGGCUUAGGGAAUGUGGCAGCUCCGGCUGUGUUAUAGCCCUUUGUCACAUACAGCUGUUGGGAUUGAGGAACUCAGCACGCCGCAAGGCCGGGUUUCGACCACGUUCGUGCUUAGGAUGCUGGCAUAAUGGCUUUAAGCGACCCGUCUUGAAACACGGACCAAGGAGUCUAACAUGCCUGCGAGUGUUUGGGUGGUAAACCCGAGCGCGUAAUGAAAGUGAAAGUUGAGAUCCCUGUCGUGGGGAGCAUCGACGCCCGGACCUGACCUUUUGUGACGGAUCCGCGGUAGAGCAUGUAUGUUGGGACCCGAAAGAUGGUGAACUAUGCCUGAAUAGGGUGAAGCCAGAGGAAACUCUGGUGGAGGCUCGUAGCGAUUCUGACGUGCAAAUCGAUCGUCAAAUUUGGGUAUAGGGGCG